rnacentral:rRNA from 1 species
UGUCGUCAGCUCGUGUUGUGAAAUGUUGGGUUAAGUCCCGCAACGAGCGCAACCCUUAUCCUUUGUUGCCAGCGGUCCGGCCGGGAACUCAAAGGAGACUGCCAGUGAUAAACUGGAGGAAGGUGGGGAUGACGUCAAGUCAUCAUGGCCCUUACGACCAGGGCUACACACGUGCUACAAUGGCGCAUACAAAGAGAAGCGACCUCGCGAGAGCAAGCGGACCUCAUAAAGUGCGUCGUAGUCCGGAUUGGAGUCUGCAACUCGACUC